rnacentral:rRNA from 1 species
CCUACGGGUGGCAGCAGUGGGGGAUAUUGGACAAUGGGGGGAACCCUGAUCCAGCCAUGCCGCGUGUGUGAAGAAGGCCCUCGGGUUGUAAAGCACUUUCAGUGAGGAAGAACGCCUGGUGGUUAAUACCCAUCAGGAAAGACAUCACUCACAGAAGAAGCACCGGCUAACUCCGUGCCAGCAGCCGCGGUAAUACGGAGGGUGCGAGCGUUAAUCGGAAUUACUGGGCGUAAAGCGCGCGUAGGUGGCUUGAUAAGCCGGUUGUGAAAGCCCCGGGCUCAACCUGGGAACGGCAUCCGGAACUGUCAAGCUAGAGUGCAGGAGAGGAAGGUAGAAUUCCCGGUGUAGCGGUGAAAUGCGUAGAGAUCGGGAGGAAUACCAGUGGCGAAGGCGGCCUUCUGGACUGACACUGACACUGAGGUGCGAAAGCGUGGGUAGCAAACAGGAUUAGAUACCCCAGUAGUC